rnacentral:misc_RNA from 1 species
AAGUCGUAACAAGGUUUCCGUAGGUGAACCUGCGGAAGGAUCAUUAACACUUUUUAUUAUUUUGUUUUUUUUCUAAAACAAAAUUUAAAACCCCACAAUUUUGGAUGAAUUUAAUUAAUUUAUUUUUUAUUUUAUUUUUUUUAUUAUAACCCUAUUAUUUGACUAACAUUUUUAUUUAAUUAUUAAAAAAUUAAAAAACAACUCUUAACAACGGAUAUCUUGGCUCUCG